rnacentral:rRNA from 1 species
CCUACGGGUGACAGCAGUGAGGAAUAUUGGUCAAUGGGCGGAAGCCUGAACCAGCCAAGUAGCGUGCAGGAUGACGGCCCUACGGUUUGUAAACUGCUUUUAUACGGGAAUAACGCGCCUUACGUGUAGGGCUUUGCAUGUACCGUAUGAAUAAGGACCGGCUAAUUCCGUGCCAGCAGCCGCGGUAAUACGGAAGGUCCGGGCGUUAUCCGGAUUUAUUGGGUUUAAAGGGAGCGUAGGCCGCAUGUCAAGCGUGCUGUGAAAUGUCCGGGCUCAACCCGGGACUUGCAGCGCGAACUGGCGAGCUUGAGUUGGCGGAAAGCAGGCGGAAUUCGUGGUGUAGCGGUGAAAUGCUUAGAUAUGACGAAGAACCCCGAGGGCGAAGGCAGCUUGCUGCAGCGGAACUGACGCUGAUGCUCGAAAGCGAGGGUAUCGAACAGGAUUAGAUACCCUUGUAGUC